UACGGAGGGGGCUAGCGUUGUUCGGAAUUACUGGGCGUAAAGCGCACGUAGGCGGCUUUGUAAGUUAGAGGUGAAAGCCCGGGGCUCAACUCCGGAAUUGCCUUUAAGACUGCAUCGCUAGAAUUGUGGAGAGGUAUGUGGAAUUCCUGGUGUAGCGGUGGAAUGCGUAGAGAUCAGGAAGAACACCCAUGGCGAAGGCAGCAUACUGGGCCUGUACUGACGCUGAGACGCGAAAGCGUGGGGAGCAAACGGG
rnacentral:rRNA from 1 species